CAAUUGGAGAUAGUCAAUAAGCAGAAAAAUUAAAAAGUUAGAUGAGAGUAACUCCAGUUUGCUGCAAAACAGCACAUUUACAUUAUGUACAGAAAGAGGGGGGAAAAAAACAACCCAAAACAAGAUAGAAUAUCAAGUAUGAGGCCAUAUAAUAGUUCAGAUCCAACCAUCUAAACAAGGAGCAUUCUAGAAUCCAGAAAGCAACCUUUGGUUCGGGAUAGUGCGCUAGUUGGGAAUCUGAAAGCUCCAAGGUACAAAAAUCCUCUGAUUAAAAAAAAAAAAAUUAAAAAAUGUUGCCAUGUAAACUAGAAAUUGGCCGCUCUUACAGAUUUGAUAUGAGCUGAAGCUAAGAAAAGUGGCCAUAGAAAGGGAAUCCCUUCAACUUUGCUCAAAGGAACAAUAUAGUGUCAGGAACACAAAUGUUUAUUCCUGACACUAUAGUUCAAAAUGCGCCAUCUAGGCCUUUGCCCCGUUAAAAAGGUGUAAAACUCAUCUUAUUACCAGCACCCUUGCGGGUCUUGUAGGGGC